AUUUUUGUAGGCAAGUGAAUAAGGAGAAGGUAAAUUAGGUUAAUUUUCUUCUACAUUUUCUCUGUGAUUUGAGUUUAAAGAUGCAUUUUAGGCCAUGUUAUAAAUUGUUUUCCCUUUUUUGUUUCCUUGACAACAUUUUGAAGCUUUCAGCUUCUUUUUUAUAUUGUCAAUAAGAGGGAACAACUCAGCGAAAUGCAAUCGGAUGAGAGCUGAGAAAGCAUUUUCUGAGUAUCUUUGCAAUAAUACAUGGUCUAAAAUGCAUCUUUAAACUCAAAUCACA
rnacentral:misc_RNA from 1 species